CUGCGCUCGGAAUCGUCUUUCAUCAGCAAUGGUUUAUCGUUGCUUACAGAUAUAAAUAAAAUAACCUUACGUAUCCUUCCCAACUACUCAUCUAACAACAGUGGCCGCUCCCAACCCCAGUAUCAGCUCUUUUUUUUCAUACUCAAUAUUUUUCAUAUACUUUUUGAAAUAGUGAUUUACCUAUUGUUGAACUUUUAAUUCGAAACCGG